UGGUAUAGCUCAAUUGGUAGAGCAGCUGACUUGUAAUCAGCAGGUUGUAGGUUCAAGUCCUAUUACC
rnacentral:tRNA from 1 species